GUGUUUUACUUUUACUAUUACUUACAAAAUGGCGUGAAUCAAGGAACAUAUUUUUGUCUUUUUCAUGUCCACCUUCAAGCUCAAGUUCAACUUAUAUCUAAAAAUGUGAAAUCUAAAAUAGCGAUCCAUCUUAUUUCGUUUUCGUUCAGUUUGUGAAUUAAGAAAUUGUGAUAAAAAAAAAUUGUGCAGUACUUUUCACUUUUCUAGACUCAGGUCUCAAAUUGCAAAUAAUAAUUUGAUGAUAGCGUUGCUAAUGCGCCAUUUACAGUAUUAAAAUUAAGUGAUCUUUGAUGUGAUGCUCUUGAUUUGUAAUUUAUUAUUUACAUAUUUUGUAGCUGACGCUGUUUGGGUAGGGUAUAGAUUUGUCUCCGUCAUCGUUAUUUAAAUGGCUGAUAGACGAUAGCCUUCUCAUCAGUUUAAAAAUGUUUUGAUCUUGUAUUUCAAAUCCUUCAUUUAAAACCUGAUGUAGUAUUCUGUUGGCUUUCCAAAUGGCCAACAGGCCUAAUACAUCAUCAAACUGAAGCCUGUUAGGAAUUUGGUUCUGUUAUAGUUUUAUUUCAGUUUGUAUGACAAAUGUUUAUUUGGCCUAGCCUAUUAUAGUAAAUAUUGAUUGUUUAUUACUAAACUAACUAACUAAACAGUUAAUAUUUACAAAAAUGAUGUACAACACAUCCAGCUUGUUAGGCUUAACUACUGUUAAAUGUGUUACUAGGUCAUGAAAAAUGAGGCGCCUAAAAGAGGAAAUUUCCACAUCUCAAUGUUAAUGUUGUGGUCAACAAUGGACAAUAUUUAAACAAAUAAUACAUAAAUAUCAUGUACUAUGUCGAGUUGUGUGUUCAGGAAGUGGUGUAAGUGUAAAAAAUACAUAAAUAAAUAGUGGAAUUAAAGACAAAAUUGUGCAUGUGUGCGCUCAGUUUUGUAGCCUAUUAUUCGGAUCACUUUUUCCUGAUUCAGAUUCUGAUUUUAUAUGGAUGUAACUAAUCUAUAGGAUAAAAUUAUCAUUGGUUAGGGUUGUUUAUAAUCGAACUCCUUGUUCAUGAUAUGUUGGGAAACCUUUGGCAACAUCAGUAGCAGGCAGCCCUUGGUGACCGUUUCUUCAACAAGUAAUGGCAGUUGUCAGAAGUCAUUCCAGUGUUUUGUGAAUUAAAGUAGUUUUUUCUGAUUCACAAAACACUGAACCCCUUUGUUUGAGGAAAAUUUAAUAUUAGUUGUUUAUAAAUAGAAACUUUCAAAUAAUUUAAAUGUAGCGACCUGUACUUUGGUGUAUUGAUGAAACAAUACCAUUGAGGUAUCGAUACUUUUACUCGAUACUGUAUCUGUCGUCAAGUAUCGACACUUACUCGGUAUCAAUUGAAAAGUAUUGAUACUUACUCAUGUCAAAUGGUUUUUAGAAAAUUUAAGUUAAAAACCGUAACAUGCACGGGUAUUCUUUAUUGUUAUAUACAUUUGUAAUAAAAGCCUGUCUUUGUAGUGCUUCCCAAAAAUAUUAAUUUUUCCAAACGUUUUCCCAGUUAAAUUUAAGAGAAGUGGCGAGUGGUGACAUAGACAAACAAGCUUGCCAACUACACAAAAAAAACUAAGGCUAGGAUGCCUUCAAAAAUUUCAAUUUAAGAUAUUCAAUUUUCAAUUAUCAAUGUUAAAACAAAAUAGUGACAUUGGUAUACUGAUAUGAGUACUUUUGACUGAUACCUACUUGAUUCUUAAUUUCAAAGUAUCAAUACUAAAAAUACUUGUAUCGGAGCAAAAGAAUCAAGUACAUACUUGUAUUUACUCGUAUCUUAUUAUUCCUACUUUGGUGGCCCAGCUACACUGGUAUUUUAAACUCAGUGCUGGGUAUUUGAUGAUAUCAACGUGAAGAUUCAGACAAUAACAAAAAGCACAAUAUACUUGGACUGCUACUGCUCUUGUUGACUCCAUGUACAGGGAAUUUUUGUUGUCAAAGAUUUGUUACCAUUUUUUAGCUCUAACAAAUAUUAUUCAUAUUCACAAAUAUAAAUUGCUGUGUUAACUUGCUGUAAAAGUGUUGUGUUAAAUUAUUGUUGAAAUUAAUAAUUUUUACACACCUAAAAAAAAAUAAGUACUUGUAAGGUAAUUUGUUGUUUGGGAGGUUUUUAUUGAAAUAUAUAGUUCUGGCAAACAGCAAAAGAAGUACUACAUGGAUAGAUGAUCUACAACUAACUGCAAAAAGGCUGGAAGAGGACUAUGCCAUGAAUUUUUGUCAAUGGUAGAUUGUGGAUGUCAUUCAUUCAGUUUUAGUACUUUAUCUAGCAUAUCUGACAUCUUGUAUGGUAAAAAGUGAAUACUAUGUUUUUUAGAACAGUCAUUAACAACUAAACUAACCCAAAAAAAAUCUCCUAUUUUCAAAUUAAGAUGCAUGUUAAUCAAUACUUAAUUCUUAGCUUACAUCAAUCAACCUCUAAAUCUACCUCUAAAAAACAAAGCUCAGUGGUAAGAAAGGUCUCAUUGUUAAGGGGUUUGUCGCACUAACUCCUAGCACAGUCUUUUCAGACUAGUUGGAGGGGAAGAGGAAUAUUGGUCAUAUUAUAAAAAAUAUGGCAAAUAUUCUUUUAAUAAAAAAAAAACUUCUAAAUGUCUUUCUUACCAUGUGGUACAGGCGAAGUAAAUUGUACCCAGUUGGUACAGCAGCAAGAUGUAAAAUCAAAAAUUGUAUUGAAUUGUUUGAAUUUUAAGAGUUACAGGAGUAUAUUAUGAGGGUUCUUAUAAUUAUGAUAUCUUAUACUUAAUUUAACAACACAGCCUUAAGUGUUCUUGUUGAUUUUGUUCAAAAGUAGUCGUAAUUUGUUAUGGGUAACUGAUGCUUAUCAAUAGCCCUUGUCCAAAUGUUCAGUGGUAUCCAACUUAAAUCAUGUGUUUGAAGUUUGGUAUGUUUUACAAGUUCAUUCAUCAUUAUCAACCCAUAUUUGGCUCACUGCUGCUCAAGUCUCCUCUCAGAAUGAGAGUGGUUAGGCCAAUAGUCCUAACCACUCUCAUUCUAAAUAGCUGGCCUAAUGUGGAUUGGCAGACUUCACAUAUGCAGAGAAUUAAGAAAAUUCUCAGGUAUGUUGGUUUCCUCACGAUGUUUGCCCUUUACUAUUUGAAAUAAGUGAUAUAUUUAUUUUUUUAAAAUGCACUUUACUGAAAAUUUUAAAGGUGCAUGCCCUGGACCAGAUUUGAACAUGCACCCUCCGGAACCGGAUGCAGAGGUCACACUGGGCUAUCACAAGUACAUUGCUUUAGAGAAAAAAUAGAAAAAUCUUGAUAUACUUGUGGUGAGGCAAUAGGUACAGCAAGGCACUAGUUGAUUUGGUUGACAUAUUUUGACUUCGUUGAAGCAGGCUCAUUAUCAAAUACCUCUAGUAAGCCGUAUUCAAUCUUGAGUUUUGCACCUGAUUGGACUUUUAAUGGAUGUGUAUGAAAAACAUAAAAUCCCAGAGGGUGUCGCUAUUUCAAGAUCUAGAUCUUUUCCUUUUAGACAUUUUCCUUUUUUCCAAACAAACUAAACAUAUAGUACUUGUAGAGCUUACUGUGCUAUGGGACUCUGAAGGACCACAGUAUAAAAAUAAAUAAAUAUUAUGACUAAAAAUGGGCAUGUGGUUAGUAUGUGGUGGAAGGAGGAUUGCCAGUAAAAUAUCUCUAUAACUUAAAGACCUUGGCUGUUCUAUAACUGCAGCUAGUUAAGGUCCUUUUUUACAGCCUUGUCUUGGCUAUCUGAUGAGUAACUGCAACUUUAUUCCUACCUAUUUAUUAUAAAUGAAAGUUUUGGCUGUCUGCUUAUAAGAGUCUUGACAAACUCAUGAGUAUGAUAAGUUUCUAACAUGUGUCAGAUUAAACAAAUUAAAAGCGUUUUUAAUUAUAAUUAUUUAGGUAAAUAUGUAAUAAUCGAAUAAUUGAAUGAAACACAAAUUAUUUUUAAUUUUGUAUUACCAUUCAAGAAGACUAAUUGUUUGAGUUUCGACGUGGAAAGCAGAGUCCUGUGUUCAUUUGAAUUAAAUCCGGGUUUGGAGAGUAACUGUUCUCAUGGCACUGUUCUUAUGACUAUAUUGCAUCUUGUGCAGUAUAUUUUUGCCAAAGUAGGAUAUAUUUUGCAAUGACUUAACCACCACUCAGUGGGGUCGUUCCAUUUCAACUCCCUUAUAGCUUUCGAUAAAGGAGUCCCAGGAGUUAAUGUUGAUACUUAAAUUAUCAACCUUAUACCAUAUACUGGUACUCCAUGCUUUCAACUUUUUGAAACGGGAAUAGUUACUUUGGCCAAAAAAAGGUUUUCUUGUAAUAGUACUAAUCUGUUUUCAAUAUCUUUCAAUAAAUCAUUUUGUACUGAUAUUCCUACAGCUGCUGUUGAUGAAGCAUUCUUAGUUUCUUUAAUUUCUUGUUUCAAUGUAUUUUAAGGGUACCAAACUAGUAGUGGCAUAUUCCUUGGCACUCAGGUCCUCUGUUACUAUUUUAAAUGGCUUGAGAAACGCAACUAAAUCGCGCAAAAUGGUUCAUUGCAAAGUAACUACAAUGUCAGUAGUUACCAUGUUGUUACCAUAAUCGGUGGAGAAAUUUGGAAUUAUUGAAAAUUUAUGGGGUGUGUUUUGCUAAAUAGCCGGGUCCACACCGGACGAUCCAGGAUCGCGGAGCGUGGAUCGUGGAUCGUGUUAGGCCGAUCCACUCUUGGAAACUUGCGAUCCCAAAUUAUGCGCUCCAAGCGAUCCUAAGGCGAUCCGUGAUUCAGCCAGUCUAACUCUUGUACGAUAUGGAGUCACACGUACAACGGCGGCGUCUUGCCGUUGCAGCAGUAACUUUUAUUUUGCUUAAAUGCUUGCGCAAAAAAUCACAAAAAAGAAAACGACGGUUUUGGGUGAAACAAAUUUACAAAAAUCGCUUGGAAUCUGGGACUCAGCUGUACGCAGAGUUAGUGUCAGAUAAAGUUGAACACAAUUUUGCAAGAAUGAAUGCUAAUCAAUUUGAGAUAUUGUGUUCAUUAUUAAAUAACAAGCUAAGAAAGAAUGAUACAAAUUAUAGAGAUGCCAUUACUGUGAAGGAAAGAUUAUUACUAACAUUGAGAUUUUUAGCAACUGGAGAUUCGUACGUCAGUUUGCAGUAUCUGUUCCGCAUUUCCAAACAGUCUAUAUCGAUAAUUAUUCCUGAAGUUUGUGAAGCCAUCAUUGACCUGUUAAAUGAUUAUGUAAAGAAACUGGGACUGCGAUGAAUUGGAGGCUAGAUGAGCAGACGGUGAUGUCUGUGGAAUUGGAGCUGGAUAAUUUUGAGGUUGUAGAGACUGGGACUGUGAUGAAGUGGAUGCUAUUGGUGUGCCAGGAUAUGAAU